GGGAGUCUGGCCGAGUGGUUAAGGCGCUGUGUUUAGGUUUGUCCUGCAAAGGAACCAAAACGAUCCGCAGUCAUUCGUGGCGCAGGUUCGAAUCCUGCGGCUCUCA